UACAGAGGUCUCGAGCGUUAGGCGGAAUCACUGGGCUUAAAGCGUGUGUAGGUGGAUCGUUAAGUAACCUUGUGAAAUCCCACGGCUUAACCGUGGAACUGCUUGGUAUACUGGCGGUCUUGAGCCAGCUAGGGGCUACCGGAACAAAAUGGUGGAGCGGUGAAAUGCGUAGAUAUCAAUUUGGAACGCCAAUGGUGAAACAGGUAGCUGGGGCUGUGACUGACA
rnacentral:rRNA from 1 species